rnacentral:rRNA from 1 species
AUUGAACGCUAGCGGGAUGCUUUACACAUGCAAGUCGAACGCGUGGCGGACGGGUGAGUAAGAUAUCGGAACGUGCCCAGUAGCGGGGGAUAACUACUCGAAAGAGUGGCUAAUAACGCCUACUAUUGGAGCGGCCGAUAUCGGCUUAGCUAGUUGGUGGGGUAAAGGAUUACCAAGGCAACGAUCCGUAGAUUGUUUGAUAGGACGACAAGCCCCACUUGGACUGAUCCACGGCCCAGACUCAUACGGUAGGCAGCGGUGGGGAAUUUUGGACAAUGGGGUAAACCCUGCUCCAGCCAUCCCGCGUGUAUGAGAAGGCCUUCGGGUUGUAAAGUACUUUUGGCAGAGAAGCGGUAUCUGCAGAAUAAGCACCGGCUAACUACGUGCCAGCAGCCGCGGUAAUUC